AAUAUAAUUUGACAAGUUAUUUUGUUUCCUUAAUUAAAAGAUACUAGAUCUAAAAUGACAACGCCCAAGAAAAAGUCAAAAUAUAUUACCUAUACUCACGCAUUGGUUAUAUAUAUAUCAAAUCCAAUCCUUUUGCCUGGAAAAGCAAUGUUUCUUUCAAACAUAUUAUCCUAUAGAUUCAACCUUGAGUUUGAGAUGUCUCUAAUUCUAUCGGUUGCUUACUCCCUCUCUCAAGCGAGUGUAAGUCCUUGCUCAGUCAAAAGAUGAGCUAUCGAGCUUAGGUUAUCCUUGGGUGAGAUUUAUGCUUCUCAAAUUUAUGUCGGUCAUCAUUAGCAAGGAGAUAUAGUCUGGUACAACUUGGAACAAAGGAAAUCCUGGAGAUUUUCAUGAAAAGAUUACAGCUACAACAUACUCCGCCGGAGAAGAAGACCUAGCUAGAAGAUUUGAUCGGAGAUGGCGAGGAAGUGUUGUAGUGAGGACUUCCAUAUUUUUCUUUACUGACCACAAAAUGGUUACACAUGGAUUGCACUUUCUUUUGAUAGCACUUUAUUUUGAUCCUUAUCUUAAGUGUGUAUGUGGUUUACUUUAACCAAAUUGCACCAGAACCAAUUUCAAAACUUUAAUGAAAAGUUUGUUGACAAAAAAAAUCAUUUCAAGUCAGUUAAUUACUAUUAAAAUUAUUUAAGAAAAAAAAACAUUUCUACUUUUGAUUUCUGAAUAAUGGCAAUGAUCUUCACCAUGUAUUGUCAUGAAAUCAAAUAAAAUUAAACCAGAAAGGUUAGUCAAACGAGAUCUUGAAAUGCUAAAAAUAUUCAAAUUUCAUGUAAAGGAUAUUCAUAAGAAGUUCAAAACAUAAUCUAAAAAUACAAAAGACGUUUAGAACUUCAUGUUACAAAAAUCCACUUCACAAAUUCAAAGUGAUGUGGGUAUUUUGAAAACUAAAUAACAGAAUACACUAAUACUAACGUUUAUGUUUUAGUUAUUCAGUUUUAGAUAAAAUUUGAAGGAUAUACACAUUCAGAAAUAUGAAACCCGAUCAAUAUUUUUCUUAUACUAACAAGCAAUUAGUACAUGAAUAUACAACAAAUGUUUGUAUUUGAUCUAAAUCACAGAUUUACAUUAAUCAUCAUCAACACCGGCACGGGUCAAACUCUAGUUACUCCUUAAUUCACAAACUGAGCUUUAAUUACAUUGCUAUUGUAUUUGAGAGGAAGAUACAACAUUAUUUAGUAUAUAUAUGUACCUCCAAUCAAACAACUGAUAAAAGGGAGAUAUGCUUUUAGGAGAGGGUGACUACGUCAGUCAAUUAAAUCAUCCAAUCAUAAAGCUUUUAAAUCGCCACGUCAUUUUCGCUUAUGUCGAGUGAAGCCCGAAACUGGCCCAAUACAAGCCGAGUCUAGCCUAAGCCCUAAUUUGUAUGAAGCGUAGAGAGUUCAUCUUCCGACUCUUCCACUUCGUCUUCGCCUGAUUUCUCUGUAACUAUGUUACGGCUUGCUCCUCUCUUCUUUAUUGUUUCGUUCUGCCUCUCUCUUCAAACAACACCCGACUCUUCCACUUCGUCUCCACCGUCUCGGUUGAUCUGUAAUCUUUGUCUUCACCUGAAUACUUUGAAAUCUCUUCCGUGGAUAUGAUGGUAUAUCAUUAUUUGGAGAUUCGAUUUUUAAAUAUUACAAAUGUUUGUAGGUUGUUCCACGAAUCUCCUUCGUAGACUUUGUUUCUGAUUCAUCUGUUGUAGUGAUUAUUUAAGAGUUUUAGGUUGGGAACGAAGAGCUUCCUCAUAUGUACACGAAGAGACUUGGCGACCCAAAGAGACUUGGCGACACUGGUUAUCUCAGUUACAAGUUUGGCCGUACCAACAAUCUUAGUGAUGGUACGUAUUUCUUUGAAUUUUUGUGAAGCUUCUAGGCUUCAUAUUCUUACUCGCUUCAUUCUUUAAUCAAAAGAUGGACUAAUGUGUGUUUCUUCUCUCAUAUGAUUGGUAUUUAGGUUUGCUUACGGCUCUUCCUAAGGACUACUUUAGAGCUGUGAACUCGAGAGGUGUGCUUUUCAACGAUUGUAGUGACUGAGUCCUGCAGUUGCUACAUGUUGAAUCAGAUCCUCCUUACUCUCAGUAUGAUAUGCCCAUCAAUAAGUUUUGAUCGCCGACACUUAUUUGAUAUUUCCUCAUGAUUCUACACUGUCUAUAGUAAGAUUGUAGCAGCUUUAAUAUUUCAGUCUUAAAUCUUUGUUGUACCAAUCCUUCACUCAUUGUUGAUGAUUUGCGUCUGUUGAACAAGAUUUUUUUUUGGUUUAGACAGGUUUAUAAGAUUAUUCAGUACGUUUUAAUCUUAUCCGAAGGAAGUCUAUCUCACUCUAAUGCCUAUUCUACUUUGCGGGUAGUUACCAAGUCUGGAAUUUUUUUGCAUUUUCAUGUGUUACAUGUAAAGAACAAAAAAUAUAUAUUUUUCUCUUAGCAGCUGUGUUUGUGUCUUUGUGGCAAAGAUUGGAGCAGAAGUAACCGAUGACAUGUCUACAAUUUUCUCAGGUCACAGGGCUUUGUGUUGUCUAACGUAACUGCUCAUCGGUACACCAAUUCUGAUGUUCAUAAGGUCACUGUCUUUCUUUUGCAGAAUACUUUUGGGUAUGCUGUAGAUUUUUGUGUUGUUUUGAAUUGGUGAUCAAGAUUAUUAAAUUAUUAUCAUUUUGGCUUAUCGGUGGGAAGCAACAUGUAUCAGGGUGAGGCCUCAAGUUUCUCUUUUGAAAAAAAAAAUAAAAAAAAUAUAUAUGUUGCCUCAGAACUCUGUGUAGAUGAUUUCAUAUAACAUUUUUAUUUUCUUCCUCCAUUAACAUCUGGGCAUAUUGAUUUGCAGUAUCAACUGAAAAGAGCAUUUUGGUUAGAUUUCAGCUUCAUCUCAGCGAUAGUUAUAAAACAACCCUUAACACAACUGAACCACCCCUCUUCUCAACCAAAAUUGGCUCCAUGACCUACAACCGCUUCUCCCAAGCCACUUCACUCUCCACGGCCACGUUAUGGUCUGAGGCUUACUCUGCCUCCAUAAAUUUGAAAGAAAAAUGAAGAAUGUGAGCACUUGGUUAGCCUGGUGAAACCUAAUAUGGUAAGGUUAAAGGUGCUUCAUACAAUAACCAGAAGGGCAAAAGAAAGAAGGUUUUGUACUCAGCUUUCCUGUUCUGUUCAAAUUUUAAUUAGGAAAAUUUUGAGAUUUAAAAAUCCUCUAAUGUGCAGGGUACAAAACGUUUUAUUGGAAGAGGACAUGAGAGAAUCGUCGAAGACAUUUAAAACAGGAUUCACUUACAUUCUUAUAGAUACGCGGGCUUGUAUUUUCAGCUGCAUGUCUAAAACGUAAAAAAAAAUCAGGUUCCUAUUUUUGGAUAGAUCUAAAAAGAGCUGAGAAACCCAACGAAGUAUUGUGAUGGACUGAUGGGGCAUUGGUCAUAAUGUAUUUCUGGUGGAUCAUGGUGUACUCGAAGUGUCACAUCUCCACUUCUUUCAUAAUAGAUAGCUGCUAUCAAGUUUGCACUUCCAUUCAGAUCAAAAGUUGAAACAACUCUCUCUCAGAUGGACAAAUAUGGCGUGGUCUUUGUUGUAAGGUGAUAGCAGAUUUAUUUUAAUUGUAUAAUAUUUCUAAGUAGAAUUGAGCAGUGUGGAUUGUGUAUAGUUUCUGAGCAUUUAAUCUAUGUGCAGCUUGGGAAUGGUACACAUUGAUUUGGAGCAAACGCAUGGCUCCAUCCUACUGCCAUGCAGUCAGCAGCAGCGUUUCUGCAUCUCCCUGUCGAGGAUGAGAUAUGGGGAAGGAAUGGUGGUGGUCAAAGAAGUGAUGGAAGCUGUGAUUUGGUUCCGUGGGCUAACAAAUUUGUCACUAUCGCAUCUAUGCACUGCAAGCUCCUUAUGUGAGAAGACUAGAAGUGACGCAGCUUCUUAUAUGAGAAGCCUACCAAUGUAAGUGUUAUUGACUGAGCUCACUUUCGUAUCAACAUGGUAGCGGUUUUAAUCAUCUAACUAUAUCAUACUUAGUGGCAGCCAAAACCAACAUGGAGGUGUUGUGAGAGGUGGUUACUUAAGGCAGAGGCUAAGCUGGUGGUGGCUAAGGGAAUAAAGGUGGUCCAACUAGAGAUUGUGGUGCCUAAAAUUGGGAUUGAAAAAUGGAAUAAAAAGCUCUGACAUGGUAUUAGGAAGAUCGUGUAGAUAACAAUAGCUGAAGGUUUCUAUAGUUGUGGAUCAUCAGAGUUUAGAGUCUGCAACGAGUGUACGAUAGCUGAAGACGGACCGGUUGUUUUCAUAUGCAAGGAAGAUGGGAAUGUUUCAAUCUCCAUCAGUAGCGUAACUCUCUUCACAUUCAAGAUGGUGUGAUUACAGUUCUCUGUUAUCUCGAUUCUGGCCGAGUUGUUAGUUGUUUAUCUAAUGAAUAAGCAAACCAAAAACAAGUGAAAUACAUGUUCCAAAAAUGAUUUACAAACAAUGUUCUUUCUAUUAUUUACUGACACCAGAAUAUGGUUUUUAAAAAGUGAUAUAAGAUAUGUAUCAUUAUGUUUGUGGAAAUAUAUUUUGUUUUGAUAUAAAUUUGGCUGACUGAAUAAAAUUUUAUGAA